rnacentral:rRNA from 1 species
GUAUUUAUAGGGGGGAAUUGAUUUAGCGGCCGGGAUUCGCCUUGUGCCAGCAGCCGCGUAAUUCCAGCUCCAAUAGCGUAUAUUAAAGUUGUUGUGGUUAAAAAGCUCGUAGUUGAACCUUGGGCCUGGCUGGCCGGUCCGCCUCACCGCGUGCACUGGUCCGGCCGGGCCUUUCCCUCUGUGGAACCCCAUACCCUUCACUGGGCGUGGCGGGGAAACAGGACAUUUACUUUGAAAAAAUUAGAGUGCUCCAGGCAGGCCUAUGCUCGAAUACAUUAGCAUGGAAUAAUAAAAUAGGACGCGCGGUUCUAUUUUGUUGGUUUAUAGGACCGCCGUAAUGAUUAAUAGGGACAGUCGGGGGCAUCAGUAUUCAACUGUCAGAGGUGAAAUUCUUGGAUCAGUUGAAGACUAACUACUGCGAAAGCUUUUGCCAAGGAUGUUUUCAUUAAUCAGGAACGAAAGUUAGGGGAUCGAAGACGAUCAGAUACCGUCGUAGUCUUAACCAUAAACUAUGCCGACUAGGGAUCGGACGGUGUUAUUCAUGACCCGUUCGGCACCUUACGAGAAAUCAAGUGCUUUGGGCUCCAGGGGGAGUAUGGUCGCAAGGCUGAAACUUAAAGAAAUUGACGGAAGGGCACCACCAGGGGUGGAGCCUGCGGUUUAAUUUUGACUCAACACGGGGAAACUCACCAGGUCCAGACACAUAAAGGAUUGACAGAUUGAGAGCUCUUUCUUUGAUUUUGUGGGUGGUGGUGCAUGGCCGUUCUUAGGUUGUGGGGUGACUUGUCUGCUUAAUGGCGAUAACGAACGAGACCUUAAUCUGCUAAAUAGCCCGCAUUUGCUUCGGCAGGGCGGCUGCCUUCUUUAGAGGGACUUUCGGGUUCAGGCGGAAGGAGAGGUUG